ensembl:lncRNA
UUUUUUAAGUGUCAACUCUGUGCUAGACUUAAUUUCUGCGUAUAAAUUACUAAGAAAAAUAGUUGUAUUUUCUGUCACCAGUAGAGCUCAUAGUCCAACGUGAGUGUGACAGACAAUAAGCAAGAAAAAUGUGAAAAAUUAUAAAGUGAAAAGUGCUUCAAAUGAAUCCAACAUGUUAACAAUCUCUCCUUAUUCCCAUCACGUUCGCUGAAGCUUGAGUUGCAGGUUCUGCCACUUAAUGUAAAUUUGCCUUGAAUUUGAGACCCAAAUAAUCCUGGCAUCUUCUGAUUGCAGAAUCUACACUUACACAGCUAGGAUCUUUGAAAGACGCUUCAAGAUGAGAAAUUUAUGAGAAGACUGAGCAGGACUGUGGACAUCUCUUAGGUCUCCUGAUGUUCAAAGCAUAUUAUGUGUAGGAUAUGUUUGGAAAUAGGUACAGCCCUGUAAUUCUCUCUUUCUCUAACAAACUUCAAGAUGCAUUUUUGAACACUGUGUUCCAUUUAUUUUGUUUUCAUGGUGCGUACAUUCAAGGUUUCCAGUUUCUGGAACCUCUGAGGAAUGUCGUACUUUGGCACUUUAAGUGGCCCUCGUGAACUCCCAGUUAAGAAGAAAGGAAAAAGCUAACAGAAAAGCAGAAAAACAGCUCAAACCAAUGAGCGAGAGCCAAACAGCACCCAAGGCCAGUUUAGAUUUGCAGGCUCUUGAGUAGCUGGUUCUCAACGGCGUUUUUAAGUUAUUCCCUGUUAUAAAGUCUUGGUGAAAGCCCUUGCUUGGUCUCAGUUCUGCUGCUGGGUUAUUAGUGGCCAGACCCCUUGGGGCGUGGGGGCGAUAUCUUGCAAGCCAACAGCAAGAGGCAGCAGAACUGAUGAGUUCUGAGGGGCUGGGUCCUGGGCACACAAGAGAAAGAUCCCGGGGAAAUGCUCCAGAGAGCUGUGGGACCUCUUUGAGGUGGGCAAAUUUCUGGAAAUUGGGAAGUAUAACCUUGUUUUGUUGUCAUGGGCUAUUGAGGCUAGAGAUUCUUAGUAUAGAUAUAAUUUCCUUCUUCUUUCCAAAAUUCCUCCUCUACAGUAUGUUUGGGAAAGGCAUCAUUAUCAACUCCCCCUCGCAUUUCGCUGAGUUUGGUUUCAUAAUUUCCCCAAGGUCACAACGCAGACGUGGAAUGCCAGCCUUCCUGCUUGAGGUGCCAUGUGCGACGUGAACCGUCCUACAACUUUGAUUCCUUUAUGUUGUCCUUGCUCUUUUCCAAGAUGGCAGCCAAGAGUAUGAGGAGAGAGACCUGCCCCUAAAUUUGAAACGAUGGACAACUUGACCCUGAAAAAGCCUUGCUGUAAUUGAAAAUCCUGUUUGCUGUCCAAAGGGUGAGUUGUAUAUCUUAGCUGCAGGUCCUUCUAGUUGUGGAAUGUGGGAUGCCGCCUCAACGUGGCCUGACGAGCAGUGCCAUGUCCGCUCCCAGGAUCCAAACCCUGGGCCGCCGCAGCGGAGCGCGCGAACUUAACCACUCGGCCACGGAGCCGGCCCCCCUAAAUUUCUAUUAGUUUUAGAAAACCUGUUGGCUUUCGUUUCCUUGUCGCUUUCUGAAGAGGCUGCCCUCCGACCCGAAGGCACACUGUCCUGUCUCUGUACGGUGAUGCUGGCUGUGUCUCGCUGCCCUCCCUGAUUUGC